rnacentral:lncRNA from 1 species
AGUUCGCUUUCCGGCUUGAGAAUGCGUUCUCUGUAGUGUGACUUGGAGCAUCUUUUCUAGGAAGUAAACGCGUCCUAAUUUGAGACGCGGACUUUCCGGCAUUGCUGUAAAAGCUUCCGGCGCUACCUGGCUGUAAAUACUCUGUAUCUGACGCCGUGUCGCCCACGAAGGCGAUCAGGUUUAGAAAUAUCCAGAGGGAUCUUACGGUAACCUACAUCAGCCCGCCAAGAUGGCGAUGCAAGCGGCUAAGAGGGCGAAUGUGAGUACCCCGCUUUCUGCGUGACAGGGAAGCGAUGUUGUUGCUUGACUGUUGCUGCGUGCCUGGGGAGCGUUUUUUGUCCCUCCGCCCAUAGUUGGGGAAGCUUGUUAUCAGUUCUGUCAAAGGAGGUUCUGUCCUGGGCUCGUCCUCAGGGGUGUGUUCUUUGAGCGACUUUUCGCCCCACCCCUAUUGAGAGCCCCCUGGCAUCAGUGACCUCGUAACGCCUAGGACCAGGCGUUAGGCUCUUCUGAGUCCAAAAAGACAUACGGAGUAACUAUUUGGUUCCUUGCCAGCUGGAGCCUGGGAUUUUUCUCGAAUGUAGAACUUUGGGAAUCCUCUAUUAAUAUUAUGUAAGCACCUGCUUUGUCUCUUGUCUUACAAACGGGAAGCAAUUCAUCAGUUGGGUUUAUUCAACACUACUGUGUAAAGGACUAGUCGGGCUUAUGUUCUACUGUUGUCAGUGAGUGUUACCAAAACCUUUAAGG